rnacentral:rRNA from 1 species
GAACAGGCUGCCGUAGAGGGUGAGAGCCCCGUGAAUCGCUGGAGACCGAUCAAUUAGUGCCCGCCGAAGAGUCGAGUUGUUUGGGAAUGCAGCUCUAAGUGGGUGGUAUAUUCCAUCUAAGGCUAAAUAUUAGCGAGAGACCGAUAGCAAACAAGUACAGUGAUGGAAAGAUGAAAAGAACUUUGGAAAGAGAGUGAAAUAGUACGUGAAAUUGUUGAAAGGGAAGGGUAUUUGAUCCGACAUGGUGUUUAGCAGCGGCCCGUUCCUCGUGGAUGGGUGCACCUGGUUUACACUGGGCCAGCAUCGGUUCUGGGAGCCAUAUACGGGGUUCGUGAAUGUGGCCCUUCGAUUCUGUCGGAGGGUGUUAUAGCGCGGA